GGACCCGCACAAGUAGUGGAGCAUGUGGUUUAAUUCGAAGAUACGCGCAGAACCUUACCAACACUUGACAUGUUCGUCGCGACUUUAAGAGAUUAAAGUUUUCGGUUCGGCCGGACGAAACACAGGUGCUGCAUGGCUGUCGUCAGCUCGUGUCGUGAGAUGUUGGGUUAAGUCCCGCAACGAGCGCAACCCUCACUUUUAGUUGCCAUCAUUAAGUUGGGCACUCUGAAAGAACUGCCAGUGAUAAGCUGGAGGAAGGUGGGGAUGACGUCAAGUCCUCAUGGCCCUUACGUGUUGGGCUACACACGUGCUACAAUGGUAUUUACAACAGGAAGCAAGACGGCGACGUUAAGCAAAUCCUUAAAAAAUACCUCAGUUCGGAUUGCACUCUGCAACUCGAGUGCAUGAAGCUGGAAUUACUAGUAAUCGU
rnacentral:rRNA from 1 species